AACUCUGCCCUCAGUUUCUGCAGCAAUUAACUUGUGGUGACGAGUUAGUCUGCUUGCAAGAGGCUGCUUGUUUUUGAAGUUUUUAUCUUGCAAAUGCAGACGCAAUUCUGUAUCUUGGGUUGGUGAAUAUAAUUUGCUGUAACGGUAGUAAUUGCAAUUUUUCUGGGAGUCCAAAUGAUGUGUUUAAAGGCCAACAGAUGAAUCUUAAAAAAAAAAAAAAUUGGCAGCUUAUUUUGUCUCCAAAAAGUUGAAGAAGCUGUUGUGAGAGUUGCUACCCUGUCUUGAGUUGUGCCUGAUUGUUGAUUUUUAUGGAAGAGUUGGCAGCGAUGUAUUGAUUAUCCUUUUAGGUUGACAAUUAGUAUAGAAAGUUUUGCUUUCAAUAAAUUAAAGACAAUUCCAAUCCACUUACUGUUUUUCACUAACCUACGAAUGGCCUAGGUUUCCUGGGUUGGGCUACAAGUUUUUGCUUAGGUGCUAUCGUCCAUGCUACCCAAUUGCCUCUAAAUAAGCAGACCAUAAGAUGAACUGAGCUGCUUUGAGAAGCUCUAGCUUCGGUUUGUUUAGGGCUUUGCCAAACUUGUAUUAUGUCAAAUACAUGAACCUCAAGCCUAGACUCCAAGCUUCUUUGUUCAAUAGGUGAGCUUGAUCAACGUGUAGCUUGGCUCUUAAGGCCCAUUAACAUAUGGGUCUGUGAGAUAACACCUAAAGGAAAUCUCGUGCAAAAGUGAAUCGGUAUCAUAUGAGAGGGGCACUGUCAGAGUGCAAAGGUGUUCAUGCUUCGAGUAAUAAUAAUUUAAGUCACUUCAGGGGAGCUAGUUGUAACCCUCCAUUAACUUAGCUUAUAUGGUGAUAGGGAAAUCUCAAAGUUGUUUUUAAUUAUAAUAAAUGGAAAAUGCAAAUCCCAUAUAGCCUUACACUAACUGUUUAAUUUCAUAAACAAUAGUGAUGCUGCCACUUGAAGUCUUUGACCAAUGCUUAUCGACUGUUAUUCUUAUUCUGGGCACCAACUUUUUCCAAAUAUUUAUGAAAUAUAUACCAAAUUAUGGGUUUCAUCUUUUUGGUUGAGAAUCAAA